rnacentral:siRNA from 1 species
UCUCUACUCUUUUCUGUCUUC